UAACUUAGGGAGGUUGUGACGAAAAAUAACGACGCGGGACUCUGUAGAGGCCUCGUGAUUGGAAUGAGUACACUUCAAAUCCGUUAACGAGGACCGACCGGAGGGCAAGCAGCCCUGGUAAUUCCAGCUCCGGUAGCGUAUAUUAAAUUGUUGCGGUUAAAAAUCUCGUGUUGGUGGUCGCGUUCGCGGCUUCGGAGCGGCAGCGCCAUCGUUCGUCGUUGACUUUGCUCGUCCGUGCUCAUUCCUGGCCCUUUUCGCCAACCUCUUGCACAUGUGCCACGCUGUCCUACCGUCGAAGUUACGCGAGGGAGUAGUAGGUGACCGCUGGGUUGUUGCGGAUGUACAGGGGACCCGCAAGUGUCGUCGUCUGCGGCGUCAGGUCAUUUUUCGGCGCGCGAUCUAAUUCAUGCGGCGGCGCGGCAUUCCUGUCAGCGACCAGCGGCCUUCACUCGUCGUCUGCGUCACCGUCGUCUCCUAAAAGAACGUCGCGUCGUCGUCGCUCCGUCUCGCCAUCGUGGUCUUCCCUACCGCCGAUUGGUAACCUCCCCUCCAGUUUCCUGCGUCCCUACUCUACCUACCUCCGCGUCUAUCGUCCGUUUUGAGCUCGUGCGCGGUCGGCGGUUUCUCCUUAAUGUGUACUCUUGAUCGGGUGUCCGCAGCGGCAGGUACGUUCACUUUGAAAAAAAAUAGAGUGCUCAGGGCGGGCUUUUCAAGUUUGCAUACGAUAAGCAUGGAAUGAUG